rnacentral:rRNA from 1 species
AUUGAACGCUGGCGGCAGGCUUAACACAUGCAAGUCGAGCGAGCGGCGGACGGGUGAGUAAUGUCUGGGAAACUGCCUGAUGGAGGGGGAUAACUACUGGAAACGGUAGUUAAUACCGCAUACCAUCAGAUGUGCCCAGAUGGGAUUGGCUAGUAGGUGGGGCAAUGGCUCACCUAGGCGACGAUCCCUAGCUGGUCUGAGCGGAUGACCGGCCACACUGGAACUGGGACACGGUCAAGACUCCUACGGGAGGCAGCAGAGGGGAAUAUUGCAAAAUGGGCGCAAUCCUGAUGCAGCCCGGCCGCGUGUGUGAAAAAGGCCUUCGGGUUGUAAAGCACUUUCAGCGAGGAGGCGUUACUCGCAGAAGAAGCACCGGCUAACUCCGUGCCAGCAGCCGCGGUAAUUC